AAGUCGUAACAAGGUUUCCGUAGGUGAACCUGCGGAAGGAUCAUUAACAAAUCUGUGUGGGCUGGGAUGGAUGAGAUCUUGUCCGUCCUGGCCCCGCUUUGCGCUUGUAUGUUUGACUGAGAUAAGAUGAAUAAAUAAUGGUAAAGGAGACAACUUUUAACAAUGGAUCUCUUGGCUCUU
rnacentral:misc_RNA from 1 species